CUCCCGCCGGCGACCGGCGCACGGGUGAGUAACACGUAUGAAGCCUGCCCGUAGCAGGGGGAUAAGCGGAAGAAAUUCCGUCUAAUACCGCGUAACAACCCGAGGAGGCAUCUCCUCGGGUUUAAAGGAAGCGAUUCCGGCUACGGAUGGUCAUGCGUCGCAUUAGCUAGUUGGCGGGGUAACGGCCCACCAAGGCGACGAUGCGUAGGGGUUCUGAGAGGAAGGUCCCCCACACUGGUACUGAGACACGGACCAGACUCCUACGGGAGGCAGCAG
rnacentral:rRNA from 1 species